rnacentral:rRNA from 1 species
ACGGAAGGCAGCAGUGGGGGAUAUUGCACAAUGGGGGAAACCCUGAUGCAGCGACGCCGCGUGAGUGAUGAAGUAUUUCGGUAUGUAAAGCUCUAUCAGCAGGAAAGAUAAUGACGGUACCUGACUAAGAGGCACCGGCUAAAUACGUGCCAGCAGCCGCGGUAAUACGUAUGGUGCAAGCGUUAUCCGGAUUUACUGGGUGUAAAGGGAGCGUAGACGGCAUGGCAAGCCAGAUGUGAAAGGUGGGGGCUCAACUCCCAAGCUGCAUUUGGAACUGUCAAGCUAGAGUAUCGGAGAGGUAAGUGGAAUUCCUAGUGUAGCGGUGAAAUGCGUAGAUAUUAGGAGGAACACCAGUGGCGAAGGCGGCUUGCUGGACGAUAACUGACGUUGAGGCUCGAAAGCGUGGGGAGCAAACAGGAUUAGAUACCCUGGUA